rnacentral:lncRNA from 1 species
AUGGUGAUGUAAAGUGAAGCCAGAGGAAACUUGCUAGAGAAUAAAUGACUGUGAACUGCCCUUCCUCUUCCCGGAACAAGUGGGAUCCCAAAGCAGCGGCCAACGUUGCACAGAGCAGAGUAACAAACACCUAUAGUUUCAGCAAAAACUAAUCAAUACAUACCAUUUUGGAAAGUUUGAAAAUGCUUUCCACCAUUAAGCUGUUCAAAUUCUAACUAUAACUUGAUGUUUUAUACUCUCAUAUAAACCAAGUCAGAUGUGUGUAAAAUUCUAACUCAAAAACAACUUUCAAGACCGAAAUGCUAAAGAAAAGUUGCACGUUACUCCAAAUCUCCAAUCGUUUUUUACUUCAAACUUCAAAAUCUUCUGAGAAUCGAAAUUCAUCCUUGUUUCUUACUGAACUACAAGAAACUGUAAAAGAAAACUCAACAAUAUUCGGAGAACCGAAAUUCAUCAAUUUUUAAAAAUUAGGUAUUAUACAUCAUCUUCUGAUCAGCUAUUAGUAACAAUACAGAAAAAUCUCGAUUACAAUUACAACAUUUGUGAUCAAGUAGAGAAAAAAAGAAGUGGAAAUUUACCUUCUGGAAGCUUGUGCGAGCGUGCUGGGGAAUUGGUGCAGAACUCAUCAUGUCUUGUCUUGUCCAAUUCCUAUUGAAGUACAAUUUCACAGCAUUCACUAAGAAAUUCAUUUUUUUCUUUUCUUUUCGUUUUGCAGAGAAAUUGGAAAUGAUGAAGAAGAAUGAGGAGCGUCAGUUCUAUUUAUAGUUUUGCAGAGAAGAGUUAGUUACCAACGGAAUGCCCUUUUUGGGAUAUUUACGGUUUUAGUUAUGGGUAUAAGGCAGGGC